AGGUUUGUGCAGUGGCAGCAUCAUAGAAUAUGAAGGUCUUGUGAGGUGUUAUUAAUGCUAUUUGAAAACUUCACCCAAUACUCCUUUAAAUCUGUUUUUUGACAGACUUGACAAUUUUUUACCAUCUCUCGAGC